rnacentral:rRNA from 1 species
ACCAGGAUUCUCUAAGUAACUGCGAGUGAACAGAGAUUAGCCCAGCACCGAAGCCUGUGGUCUUGAUCAUAAGGCAAUGUGGUGUUAAGGCGCACUUCUAAUAUUGCUAACCUACUCGAAGUCCAGCAUUGAAAAUGGCUUGGAUAUUGCCCACAGAGGGUGAAAGGCCCUUACGAGUAGGUGUCAGUUGUGAAAGCAGUGUUUAGAUGUGUGCGUCUUGGAGUCGGAUUGCUUGAGAAUGCAGUCUAAAUUGGGUGGUAAACUCCAUCCAAGGCUAAAUACCUGUACGAGUCCGAUAGUAAACAAGUACCGUGAGGGAAAGUUGAAAAGUACUCUGAAGAGAGAGUAAAUAGUACGUGAAACUGUCUGUAGGUUAAUCUGGUGGAGUCCAGCUGCGUGAGUAUCAGAUUUAUCCCUUGUGUAUGUUGUUAUUUAAGCGUAUUAUUUGGUGUGUUUGCCAAUAACACAGCAGGGUAACCUGCUUCAGUUUCAGUAUUUGAAUGCUGUCUGUGCCAUUUAUUAAAGCGCGAACACGAGGGUGCACUUCUUUUAUUCUGUCACCAUGGUCGAUAUAAUUGUUAAUAUGUGAUAAUUACACUAUUUUUUUAUGAAUCUUGCAUUCAUAAUAGAUAGCAUGGCAGGUUAUUGAAUUAUCCUCUUUGAGGUAAUUUAAAUUGUGGUUGUGGCCAGCCGAUUAUCAUGUUAAACUUGUUAUUAUACAAUAUAUCGGAUGUAAAUCCUAUGAAUUCCCACACAUUUGUUGCUUUGAGGCUGAUCAGUUUUGAUUUAAUCUUGCUGGUUAGUUUGUUUGUUAUGUGGUGUGGGAUGCAAUAUGGUA